UACGGAAGGCAGCAGGGGGGAAUAUUGCACAAUGGGCGCAAGCCUGAUGCAGCCAUGCCGCGUGUAUGAAGAAGGCCUUCGGGUUGUAAAGUACUUUCAGCGGGGAGGAAGGCGGUGGAGUUAAUAGCUUCACCGAUUGACGUUACCCGCAGAAGAAGCACCGGCUAACUCCGUGCCAGCAGCCGCGGUAAUACGGAGGGUGCAAGCGUUAAUCGGAAUUACUGGGCGUAAAGCGCACGCAGGCGGUCUGUCAAGUCGGAUGUGAAAUCCCCGGGCUUAACCUGGGAACUGCAUUCGAAACUGGCAGGCUAGAGUCUUGUAGAGGGGGUAGAAUUCCAGGUGUAGCGGUGAAAUGCGUAGAGAUCUGGAGGAAUACCGGUGGCGAAGGCGGCCCCUGGGACAAAGACUGACGCUCAGGGUGCGAAAGCGUGGGGAGCAAACGAGGAUUAGAU
rnacentral:rRNA from 1 species